rnacentral:rRNA from 1 species
UACGUAGGUGGCAAGCGUUGUCCGGAUCUAUUGGGUUUAAAGGGUGCGUAGGCGGUCUAUUAAGUCAGCGGUGAAAUCCUCCAGCUUAACUGGAGGGGUGCCAUUGAUACUGAUGGACUUGAGUCAAGUCGAGGUAGGCGGAAUUGACGGUGUAGCGGUGAAAUGCUUAGAUAUCGUCAAGAACACCAAUAGUGAAGACAGCUUACUGGGCUUAAACUGACGCUGAGGCACGAAAGUGUGGGGAUCAAACAGG